UACAGAGGGGGCAAGCGUUGUUCGGAAUUACUGGGCGUAAAGGGCGCGUAGGCGGCCUUCUAAGUCGAACGUGAAAUCCCCGGGCUCAACCCGGGAACUGCGUCCGAUACUGAAAGGCUUGAAUCCGGGAGAGGGAUGCGGAAUUCCAGGUGUAGCGGUGAAAUGCGUAGAUAUCUGGAGGAACACCGGUGACGAAGGCGGCAUCCUGGACCGGCAUUGACGCUGAGGCGCGAAAGCCAGGGGAGCAAACGGG
rnacentral:rRNA from 1 species